GCAGAACUCUGUCUGUUGCUGAGAGAGGUGUUGACAAGUGAGACUGAGAGAGAGAGAGAGAGAGAAGAGCGGCCAGCAACCCGAAUGCAGUUCAGGAACAAUGAAUUCAGAGACGGAGAAUAGGACAACUGUAACUCAAAAUAUUCUUGAAUUUCUGCUGACAACCCAAGAGACUUUCCAGAGGACUGAUCCCUCAGUUGAAAAGGCAGACCCUCUGCCAAUCAUCAUCGCCUUGAUAUGCAUAUUCCUUCUCUUGGCAACAUGUGUGAGUUUUGUUGCCUUGUGUCAUCCUGCGGGUCUGGACGCUUCCCGCUACGGCCCCUAUGAGUGCAUGCCCUAUCAUGUGGAGGACUCCAGUGAGCCCCGAUUAAAACUGUGGAAACGUCUGGGCUCCCUGAGGUGCUCCAUAAACAGCUUCCGGUGGAAUCGACCCUUCCCUCAACCUCCGCAAACCUUCGCAAGUCGUUGUCAGAUGGACCACAACGACUCGGACCUCACAGAGUCAACAAAAAUGUAAUGAUUCAGCGAGCAUCAAGUUUGCAAAUAGACGCAUUGAGGCCAGCGAGGACAAGUAAUGAAAGGUUAACUACUGCUGCAAACAAUGCUCCGGGCACCAGCAAAAAGCAAGAUCUCAGUUGUAAUGAGGAUUCGAGAAACGUACUUCAUAAUACCGAACAGAUUGCAAUUUGUAUAGUGGCUAGCAUCCACAGGGAAAACACAUUGUGCUCCAACGACUUAAUCCAUAGUAACCUUCAGACUGGAAGACAACCAUGAGCUAAAGGAUACAACAAUGUUGUUUGGAAGAUUUCAGUUCAAAAAAGAUGUUCACUGUUUCACUUUAAUAUUGAACUAUAACAUCAUUAUAGAUCUACAACCUCAUUACACUUUUAUCAUCAGUCUGCAAGGCCCCAAUUCUCCUUCAUCUUUUAUGAGACAUUCAGACUGACAGCAGCUCCUGUCAUCCUCAGUACCAGUUUCAUAUUUAACCCUGAGCACUGAGAUUUGGGAUUGAAGGAAACGCAACCACUUUUGAGGGCAAGUGGAUGGGAAGCUAAUGAUACAGUUUGCAAUAUUGUCCUGGUUGAUGCAAUCCGAAAUUCUCAUUUCAGUCUAAUAAUGUUUCUCAGAGGGAAAAUGAUAUUAUUUCAAAUGCUCAAUAGAAAUUACAAAUCUCCUGCAUCCAACAGGAAGCAUGGCAGGGACCUAAAGCGGGUUGGGAUUCACAGUGGAAGAGUUUGGGAAGCCCCGGUUUACUCUGCCGAACCACUCAAACUCUCUGAUCAAAGAAAGGAUCAAAAUAAAAACACCACAAGAUCAUCAAACAGUGAUGGAAGGUAGUCAGGGAAAGUCGCUGGACGUUAAUACAUGGCCCACACUUCCACAUGCCUCAAACCACUCAACCAUCAUCCCAGGAGUAGACAGUGCCAAACAGACCACCUGGUUGUUAAUCCAUUGGAUGUCCGCCUAUCACUAAAACAAAACUGGGAUUUUGUUACAACUAAACUAAAUCAUUAGUGGUGAAAGGAGAGGAAACCAUUCAGUUAGUCCUUUGAGAUGCAGAAGAUGGGAUGCGGUCAUGUUACAAUUGGACAAAUCCAGCAACAAUUUGCAUGCCUCCAAUGCCCUUAAGGUGUUUCAAGGCACUUCUAAAGCAGAGAAUUGAGCUCAGAAGUGUCCAGACUUGAGAGGAUGUCCCUGCACUAAAUGGACUGCAGAGGUUUAGGAAGGUACCUCACCACUGCCUUCUCCAGAGGCAACUAGGGAUGGGCAAUAACUGCCAGCCCAGCUAGCAAAGCUCCUGAACAACUGAAGAACAAGGAGGUAGCUGAUACCACAGUCAAAGAGAUAGGCUUUGCAGAGGAUUUGCAGAUAUAUGUACAGGGGAGUGCAUUAGUGAGAAAGUUGAAGUGUUUAGAUCAGGAAUAGCAUUCCUGAUGAAGGGCUUUUGCCCAAAACGUUGAUUUUCCUGCUCCUUGGAUGCUGCCUGACCUGCUGUGCCUUUCCAGCACCACUCUGAUCUAAACUCUGGUUUCUAGCAUCUGCAGUCCUCACUUUUGCCUAGAAAGUUGAAGUGUGCUGGGGUGGGUGUCUGGGAUGACAAUUAAAGGGUAAGAUUUCAGAGAUGAAUGACAAUGAAGAAAAGUAUUUAGUGGCUAUCUUUCAGGUAUGUUCUGCCUUGCAGCUUAAAUUGAAAUAAUUCAGCAUCACCGAAAGCCGAACCUGCGGAGGAAAUAAAAAUGAAAACAUAUAAUCUCAGCCGACAAGACUACAAAAAGGCACCUUGAGCAAUUUUAAAUGACGGUGCAAAUUGUUUUCUCUCACAAAGUUGAAGCAGCAAAGUGAAUUUGAUCAUUGAUAAGAGUUACGUGAAACGCAGCCAUUAAUCCUGUGACCUUCCAAGAGAAGCUGAGUAUCAGGAGAAUAACAGGGCAGAAGGUUCUAAUCAUCGACAUUUGGAAAUGUUACUGACACUUUAAAGCACAUUUCUCAGAGCUGCCAGGCUCGGAUCAUCGGAGAGUUUAUAUGCAUGAGGAGAGAAAAGCAGCAGAGCACUGCUGUCAUCAUUAUGUUGCUUUGAGUCAGAGAUCCAUAAAUCCCAUAAAAUAGUCUUCUUUCUCAACUCUUUGUUGUUAAAUCCCUGCUUCUCCCUCACAAGUCAGCACAGAAAUCCUCAGUGUUAGUGCUGGGGUGAAGGAGAGUCAAUGUGAAUGCACGCACAUUCCCAGUAAAGGCCAAAAGGCCGAGCGAGUGAGGUCUGCCAAUUAGAUUUGAGCUCUGGCUCCCAGUUGAGACUCUCUGCUGGGAAUGAGAGAUGCCUGAUUUUGUCCUUUGGAUUAGACCUUUGACACAGUCUGCUUUACAUAUAUUUUUUUUCCCAAUUUUAUUUCACUGGGUGUCUAUGGGAAGAGAUGCACAAUGAAUUGUUUUGCUAUCCCCCAUUACAUAAUCACCCAGGGUCAAUAUCUAUCAAUAUGUUUCUAAACUAAUAUACCAUUGAACAAUAAAGCCCUGCAAUGGGUGUUCCUUGCCAUUGUUGUUAUAUCUUCCACCAUUUGAUCAACAUCAUCUGUGUCAUAUUUGAUGAAUUAGUUUAUGAAGGGCACAAUUGAAACAAAACUGAUUUUACUCGGAGGAGAAAGUGAGGACUACAGAUGCU